UUGGCCGUAAACAAAUUAUAUUUACCAGAGUACUAUGAACUAAGAAGUUUAAAACUCAAAGAGCUUGGCGGUGUUUUAGACCUCUCAGGGGAACCUGUCUCAUAAUCGACAAUCCACGCUAUACCUAACCUUAUUUUGCUUUUACAGUUUGUAUACCGUCGUCGUCAGGUAACUUUUAAAAAUCUAGAAGUUAGCAAAAAAGCUGUAUAAGCUUACACGUCAGAUCAAGGUGCAGCUCAUAUUAAGGUGAGGAUGGGUUACAAUUAUAAAAUCAUAACUACGAAAUAACUAUAAUAAUAUAUAAUUAUAAGGAGGACUUGAAAGUAAACUAAAUUAUAAAAACAUUUUGAAUAAGGCUCUGAAACGUGC
rnacentral:rRNA from 1 species